GUGGGUAGUUUGACUGGGGCGGUCUCCUCCCAAAGCGUAACGGAGGAGCACGAAGGUUAGCUAAUCCUGGUCGGACAUCAGGAGGUUAGUGCAAUGGCAUAAGCUAGCUUGACUGCGAGCGUGACGGCGCGAGCAGGUGCGAAAGCAGGUCAUAGUGAUCCGGUGGUUCUGAAUGGAAGGGCCAUCGCUCAACGGAUAAAAGGUACUCCGGGGAUAACAGGCUGAUACCGCCCAAGAGUUCAUAUCGACGGCGGUGUUUGGCACCUCGAUGUCGGCUCAUCACAUCCUGGGGCUGAAGUAGGUCCCAAGGGUAUGGCUGUUCGCCAUUUAAAGUGGUACGCGAGCUGGGUUUAGAACGUCGUG
rnacentral:rRNA from 1 species